rnacentral:rRNA from 1 species
ACGGGAGGCAGCAGUGGGGAAUAUUGGGCAAUGGGGGAAACCCUGACCCAGCAACGCCGCGUGAAGGAAGAAGGCCCUCGGGUUGUAAACUUCUUUUACCAGGGACGAACAAAUGACGGUACCUGGAGAAAAAGCAACGGCUAACUACGUGCCAGCAGCCGCGGUAAUACGUAGGUUGCAAGCGUUGUCCGGAUUUACUGGGUGUAAAGGGCGUGUAGGCGGAGCUGCAAGUCAGAUGUGAAAUCCCGGGGCUCAACCCCGGAACUGCAUUUGAAACUGUAGCCCUUGAGUAUCGGAGAGGCAGGCGGAAUUCCUAGUGUAGCGGUGAAAUGCGUAGAUAUUAGGAGGAACACCAGUGGCGAAGGCGGCCUGCUGGACUGUUACUGACACUGAGGCACGAAAGCGUGGGGAGCAAACAGGAUUAGAUACCCUGGUA